AUUUUGAAACUGACACAAAGCACAAACAAUCUAUGCUUGAGAGUCAUCCUUCUAAGUAAUGUCUCUUUGCAGGUGUGAGUGGGAGGCCGCCAAUAGACCAAGCACAAUUGGAGAGAGAGUUAGAAUUAGACCUUGAAAAUGUUCGCAUUGAAGACAACAUUGAUCCCAAUGAUGUGAACCUGGAUGAAGAAGAAUUGUUGGCAGACUAAUUGAGAUUUGCUGAUGCAGUGCUUCAUCCAUUUUCUUUUGUUAUCUUUAUUUUAAGUAUUUUUAUGUAAAUAGGAAAAAACAUAUAUUGCAGUUGUUUGUUUUCAUAAAAUUUUUAGGUGUUCUAGGUUUUAAAUGGAAUAUCAGCUAAUUCAGAUGGCACUGAAAGAAUUGGGUUUAUUUUUGUGAAAUGAAAAAAUACAUGUUCAGGGCUUUUUUUACUAUCAAAUUGGUAUGACUGGAAGGAAUAUGAUAAAUAAUGUUUAUGCUCAGAAUGCAAUAGUAAUUUUGGAGAAAUGUACCAGUGAACAAACCUGUUGCACCAUUUAUUUUGCUUAUUUAUGAAACGUGUAUUGAAAUUAGGAUCAUUCCAUAUUUAACUUUUAUACAAAGUUGGAGGUGAAUAAAAGUUAACUUCAUCAAAGUGUAUUUAAUUGAACCAGAUAUUUAUAUUGUAGAUUAGAGAACACAAUAUUUGAUUAAUAUUUUUUGUGAUGAACUUGAAAUAAGUGAAAUAAAACGGUUAAAAGUU